UUAAGUGACGAUAGCCUAGGAGAUACACCUGUACCCAUGCCGAACACAGAAGUUAAGCCCUAGAACGCCGGAAGUAGUUGGGGGUUGCCCCCUGUGAGAUAGGGAAGUAGCUUAGC
rnacentral:rRNA from 1 species